rnacentral:tRNA from 1 species
UAUAAUAUCAGUGUUAGGGCACGCAGAUUUUUGACAUCUGAAGAAUGAAAUCAUUUUCAUAAUUAUAA